GAAAGAGCUUAAGAACGUGUUUUCAUGCAAAUAUUCAAAGAGUUCGUGGCGUUAGGCACGUGAUUUUGCUUCACUCUUCAACAUACAAUUGGACCCACUCCAUCCAUGCGCCAAUCCGUUGCAAUUACAUUAAGCUACUUAGAUGAGGUACCCACUGACCCACACUUCACAACGCGAAGAUCAUCUUCUUGUAUACAUAAAUAGAUUUAAAAAAAAAAGAAGUUCAUAUUACACGAAUUUGAUUUCCCAUUGAGUUAACAUUUUUUUUGUCAACCCCAUUUGAGUUAACUAAUUUCUCUAUAUAAUAAUCCUGCAUAUUUAUUAUUAAAUUUGUAUAUUAAAAUAGUAACAUGCCAUGUCUUCCUUUUUUUUGAUAAAAAUAAAAAGUAGUUUUAUUUUUUUGCCAGAAAUCCAAACAUUGUAAAUAGUGGCUUCCAGCGUGAAUCGAAUCCAAAUGGCGGUAGAUACAGCUGCAACCCCUAAACCAUGGGACAAAUCAACGUUGGUAAAAAAGUGGUUUCAUCUCUUUGCUGGAAAUCCAAACAUUGUAAAUAGUUAUUUUCAGAGUGAAUUAAACUCAAAUAAUAGUAGUUAUAGCCGCAACCCC
rnacentral:lncRNA from 1 species